AAGAGAAUAAUUUACCUUUCCGAGUAAUCAAUAGCUACUUUUUUUCUUUUUUUAUUCUAUGCAGAUUGUUGGGUAUAUUUUGGAAGUGUGCCAGAAUUGGCGAACGGAAGAGUCCUUAUGUUGCAGUAUGCUGUAUAGUAAUGGCCUUCAGCAUCCUCUUCAUACAGUAGCUGGGGAAAAUGCCAGAAUUUAGUUGCCAUCAGAUUUGAUUGUGAACAAGGACUGACUGCAGAAAAUAAUGGAAAGGAUGUUUAACUCUUUUAUCUCCGAACAUUGAAUGAGAUAAAUUUCCAGAUGCUGUUCUCUAUUUUAAUGUUAUUGGACCAAUGUUCUGUAUAAACAAUUAAGAUGUAACCAUUUAAUAGUCUGUAACAAUCAACCUCAGUACUGUCACUACAAUAUUACAUUCUGCAUAUGUUAUUCUGUUGUAUCAGAUACGAAAUUUUAGUGAGGUAUCUCUAAGGCACAUAGUAGAAAACAAAAUUGGUUAAUUACUCAAGUUCCUUUCACUGUGAUUUGGAAAUGAUUUAAUCUUUAUAGAAUGAGACCCUUUUUUGGACUAGCUUUUUUAUUAAAAUGGCUCAAUUUGUGUUGAUAAGGAUUGCAUUAAUAUUUAAUAGUGCUUGCUUUUCCUCUGGGCACACCAUUUUGAUCAUUAACCAGAGUACCUCUACUCUUAGCAAACUCUAGUUUAUGACAAGUAUUUAAAAUAUUUAAAA
rnacentral:sRNA from 1 species